GUGACAUCAAUGGAAAGUCUCAGACAGCAGCAGCACAGGCUCAUCGUACAUAGGUGUGGUCAGGGAUGGAGCAUUGUUUUCCUCCCAUGAGGUAGAAACAAAGACCUGCGUUGGGGAUUAAUAGGAUGGAGAGCAUGUUGCCUGCAGGAGGGACCAAUCUCUCCUCAUGAAAUUUGAGCUGCUUCCACAUGAGUAAGAAACUAAAGGUGAAGGAACCAGCAAUGCUAGGAGAAGUAGCUAUUGACAGCACCUGGCUCAUUCGUCAAGGAGGACCGUGGCAAGAUAUUUGAAGGGCAUGAAGGGUGAUGUCAGUGUAGCAAUUACUGGUGCACUUUAGACCACUGGAAUGUGCCUACUCAGAAACUGAAGCUGGUGCAGAAUGCCAGGGCCAGUUCACCAAGAGGAGCGUCAUGCUGGGAGCACACUACACCAAUGCUCUGUGAGCUGCUUUGGCUACCUGGGAGAUUCCAGCUGUUGGCCCUCGCCUUUAAAAGCUCUAAGUGGUUUGAAACCCAGUUACCUAAGGGACUGCCACUCUCCCAGUGCCAUGAUGCCCUGGCUGCAGUCAGCAGAGGGACUGAAGCAGAGGGAACCUUACUAUAAAAGAGAGGGAGCUGCUGGAAAGGCAAUCUCCACGAAGGCCUUUCCACUUUGGAACUUGCUUCCCCCAUUGAUCUGCCAGAGCACAGACAUAUGAACUGUGCAGUCACAUUACAAGGCCCAAUUCUUCUCCUAGGGGUUUGGGAAGGAGGUGGUUUGAA